rnacentral:rRNA from 1 species
CCCGGGUCUUGUACACACCGCCCGUCACACCAUGGGAGCGGGAUGUACCAGAAAUAGGUAGGCUAACCGCAAGGGGGCCGCUUACCACGGUGCGUUUCGUGACUGGGGUG